GAUCGGUAUUGUUUUAACACCGUAAGUCUCCUGCAUAUGGAAAUUGAGUUGAAUUUUUAUUAUGUUUUAGCCGUACAUUCGCAUUCUCUGACAGCUCUUGAGUAGUUUAUUUUAGCAGUCAGCACCGUCUCACACACACUCUACGCAGGGAAGCCGGUGAAUAUAAGUGAGUGUUCCGAAAAAGAAAAAAAAAGAGAAAGAAAAGGGGAUGCACCUUCUAAGUUUGGUGACCCUCACCCAGUCACUUAACCCAAUGGAUGUAGAACCUUCAAAAAAAUAAUUGAAAAUAAGACUAGUUGUCAGUUGGUUCAGCGGUUUCUGGUACUGAACUUGGUAGGGCAGAUUACGGUCUGAUCCCCCGCAACUACAACUGAAUAAACAAAGGGUUAUGCCACGUAAGUACUAGAAUCCCGUGUAAAAAGGAUCAGAGCCACUAACCGGUCGCCUUGCUAUGAG
rnacentral:lncRNA from 1 species